rnacentral:misc_RNA from 1 species
GAUGAAGAACGUAGCGAAAUGCGAUACUUGGUGUGAAUUGCAGAAUCCCGCGAAUCAUCGAGUUUUUGAACGCAAGUUUCGCCCGAAGCCAUUCGGCCGAGGGCACGUCUGCCUGGGUGUCACGCAUCGUUGCCCCCCCAAACUCCGGUUCGGGCGGGGCGGAAGUUGGCCUCCCGUGCGUGCCUGCGCGCGCGGUUAGCCCAAAAGCGAGUCCUCGGCGACGAGCGCCACGACAAUCGGUGGUUUUUUUACCCUCGUUCCUCGUCGUGCGUGUCCCGUCGCCCGAACGCGCUCUUGCGACCCUCACGCGUCGCCUCGGCGGCGCUCCCAACGCGACCCCAGGUCAGGCGGGACUACCCGCUGAGUUUAAGCAUAUCAAUAAGCGGAGG